UUAAGUCCCGCAACGAGCGCAACCCUCGCCCCUAGUUGCCAUCAUUCAGUUGGGAACUCUAGGGGGACUGCCGGUGAUAAGCCGCGAGGAAGGUGGGGAUGACGUCAAGUCCUCAUGGCCCUUACAGGCUGGGCUACACACGUGCUACAAUGGCGGUGACAAUGGGCAGCGAAGGAGCGAUCUGGAGCUAAUCCCAAAAAGCCGUCUCAGUUCAGAUUGUACUCUGCAACUCGAGUACAUGAAGGUGGAAUCGCUAGUAAUCGUGGAUCAGCAUGCCACGGUGAAUACGUUCCCGGGCCUUGUACACACCGCCCGUCACACCAUGGGAGUUGGGUUUACCCGAAGGCGUCGCGCUAACCGCAAGGAGGCAGGCGACCACGGUAGGCUCAGCGACUGGGGUGAAGUCGUAACAAGGUAGCCGUAGGGGAACCUGCGGCUGGAUCACCUCCUUUCUGCGGCCGCU
rnacentral:rRNA from 1 species